UGGUACCUACGGGGGGCAGCAGUAGGGAAUCUUCCACAAUGGGCGAAAGCCUGAUGGAGCAACGCCGCGUGGGUGAAGAAGGUCUUCGGAUCGUAAAACCCUGUUGUUAGAGAAGAAAGUGCGUGAGAGUAACCGCCCACGCCCCGCCCCCCCCUCCCCCCAAAGCCACGGCUAACUACGUGCCAGCAGCCGCGGUAAUACGUAGGUGGCAAGCGUUAUCCGGAUUUAUUGGGCGUAAAGGGAACGCAGGCGGUCUUUUAAGUCUGAUGUGAAAGCCUUCGGCUUAACCGGAGUAGUGCAUUGGA
rnacentral:rRNA from 1 species